CACUUCACAUUCAUAUCUGGUGGGGUGGCCUCUAGCUCACCCAGUAAGAGCCUGCGCCCCAUGUACGCUGUGUCCUUAG